CACGUAGGGCGCAAGCGUUGUCCGGAAUUAUUGGGCGUAAAGAGCUCGUAGGCGGUCUGUUGCGUCCGCUGUGAAAACUCGGGGCUUAACCCCGAGCCUGCAGUGGAUACGGGCAGACUAGAGGUAGGUAGGGGAGAAUGGAAUUCCUGGUGUAGCGGUGGAAUGCGCAGAUAUCAGGAGGAACACCGAUGGCGAAGGCAGGUCUCUGGGCAUUAACUGACGCUGAGGAGCGAAAGCAUGGGGAGCGAACAGG
rnacentral:rRNA from 1 species